UUCAACGGCCGCGGUAUCCUAACCGUGCAAAGGUAGCGUAAUCACUUGUCCCUUAAAUAGAGACUAGUAUGAACGGCUAAAUGAGGAUAAAUCUGUCUCCUUUAACAAAUCAGUGAAACUGAUCAACCAGUACAAAAGCUGGAAUAACCCCAUAAGACGAGAAGACCCUGUGGAGCUUUAAAUUUAACCCAAACAAUAAAACAAAAAUUGGGUAAUGGCUAAAAAUUUUAAGUUGGGGCGACUUCGGAAAAAAACCAAACUUCCGAGCAUAAGACUAUGUCAUACCAAGACCUACAAGUCUAAACCAAAAUUGACCCAGUAACACUGAUAACCMRACCAAGUUACCCCAGGGAUAACAGCGCAAUCUUCUUCAAGAGUCCCUAUCGACAAGAAGGUUCACGACCUCGAUGUUGGAUCAGGAUAYCCCRAYRAUGCAGCCGCUAUUAAAGG
rnacentral:rRNA from 1 species